rnacentral:rRNA from 1 species
GAUGAACGCUGGCGGCGUGCCUAAUACAUGCAAGUCGAGCGAACGGACGAGAAUCUUGCUUCUCUGAUGUUAGCGGCGGACGGGUGAGUAACACGUGGAUAACCUACCUAUAAGACUGGGAUAACUUCGGGAAACCUGAGCUAAUACCGGAUGAUAUUUUGAACCGCAUGGUUCAAAAGUGAAAGACGGUCUUGCUGUCACUUAUAGAUGGAUCCGCGCUGCAUUAGCUAGUUGGUAAGGUAACGGCUUACCAAGGCAACGAUGCAUAGCCGACCUGAGAGGGUGAUCGGCCACACUGGAACUGAGACACGGUCCAGACUCCUACGGGAGGCAGCAGUAGGGAAUCUUCCGCAAUGGGCGAAAGCCUGACGGAGCAACGCCGCGUGAGUGAUGAAGGUCUUCGGAUCGUAAAACUCUGUUAUUAGGGAAGAACAUAUGUGUAAGUAACUGUGCACAUCUUGACGGUACCUAAUCAGAAAGCCACGGCUAACUACGUG